rnacentral:rRNA from 1 species
UGGGGAAUAUUGGACAAUUGGCGCAAGCCUGAUCCAGCCAUGCCGCGUGUGUGAAGAAGGCCUUUUGGUUGUAAAGCACUUUAAGCGAGGAGGAGGCUACUUGGAUUAAUACUCUAGGAUAGUGGACGUUACUCGCAGAAUAAGCACCGGCUAACUCUGUGCCAGCAGCCGCGGUAAUACAGAGGGUGCGAGCGUUAAUCGGAUUUACUGGGCGUAAAGCGUGCGUAGGCGGCUUUUUAAGUCGGAUGUGAAAUCCCUGAGCUUAACUUAGGAAUUGCAUUCGAUACUGGGAAGCUAGAGUAUGGGAGAGGAUGGUAGAAUUCCAGGUGUAGCGGCGAAAUGCGUAGAGAUCUGGAGGAAUACCGAUGGCGAAGGCAGCCAUCUGGCCUAAUACUGACGCUGAGGUACGAAAGCAUGGGGAGCAAACAGG